CUUAAGCAUAUCAAUAAGCGGAGGAAAAGAAACCAACAGGGAUUGCCCUAGUAACGGCGAGUGAAGCGGCAACAGCUCAAAUUUGAAAUCUGGCGCAAGCCCGAGUUGUAAUUUGUAGAGGAUGCUUCUAGGUAGCGACCGGUCUAAGUUCCUUGGAACAGGACGUCAUAGAGGGUGAGAAUCCCGUAUGUGACCGGCCCGCACCUUCUACGUAGCUCCUUCGACGAGUCGAGUUGUUUGGGAAUGCAGCUCUAAAUGGGAGGUAAAUUUCUUCUAAAGCUAAAUACCGGCCAGAGACCGAUAGCGCACAAGUAGAGUGAUCGAAAGAUGAAAAGCACUUUGGAAAGAGAGUUAAAAAGCACGUGAAAUUGUUGAAAGGGAAGCGCUCACAACCAGACUUCUGGGCGGUGUUCCGCCGGUCUUCUGACCGGUCUACUCGCCGUCCCGAGGCCAACAUCAUCUGGGACCGCUGGAUAAGACCUCAGGAAUGUAGCUUCCCUCGGGAAGUGUUAUAGCCUGUGGUGAUGCAGCGCGUCUCGGGUGAGGUCCGCGCUUCGGCAAGGAUGUUGGCGUAAUGGUUGUCAGCGGCCCGUCUUGAAACACGGACCAAGGAGUCUAACAUCUAUGCGAGUGUUCGGGUGUCAAACCCCUACGCGUAAUGAAAGUGAACGGAGGUGGGAAGCGUGAGCUGCACCAUCGACCGAUCCUGAUGUCCUCGGAUGGAUUUGAGUAAGAGCAUAGCUGUUGGGACCCGAAAGAUGGUGAACUAUGCCUGAAUAGGGUGAAGCCAGAGGAAACUCUGGUGGAGGCUCGCAGCGGUUCUGACGUGCAAAUCGAUCGUCAAAUUUGGGUAUAGGGGCGAAAGACUAAUCGAACCAU
rnacentral:rRNA from 1 species